rfam:Schistosoma mansoni strain Puerto Rico chromosome W, complete genome
AUCCAGUUGACGAGUCCCAAACAGGACGAAACGCGCGUCAAACUGGAU